rnacentral:rRNA from 1 species
GAUGAACGCUAGCUACAGGCUUAACACAUGCAAGUCGAGGGGUAACGAGAGGGAAGCUUGCUUUCCUUGUCGACGACCGGCGCACGGGUGAGUAACGCGUAUCCAACCUGCCCCCAACGAGGCAAUAACCUUGCGAAAGUCAGACUAAUACCCUAUAAUUUCCCAAGAUGUCAUCUGACGAGGAAUAAAAAUUUAUCGGUUGUGGAUGGGGAUGCGUCUGAUUAGCUUGUUGGCGGGGUAACGGCCCACCAAGGCAACGAUCAGUAGGGGUUCUGAGAGGAAGGUCCCCCACAUUGGAACUGAGACACGGUCCAAACUCCUACGGGAGGCAGCAGUGAGGAAUAUUGGUCAAUGGGCGGAAGCCUGAACCAGCCAAGUAGCGUGCAGGAUGACGGCCCUAUGGGUUGUAAACUGCUUUUAUACAGGAAUAAAGUUAGCCACGUGUGGUUAUUUGUAGGUACUGUAUGAAUAAGGACCGGCUAAUUCCGUGCCAGCCGCCGCCGUAA